rfam:Ornithorhynchus anatinus chromosome 1, whole genome shotgun sequence.
AGGACACGGAGAGAAUUGGCAGACUGAUAGGUCUUUCUCCAUUCUGUGAGUGGUGGUACACAGCCAUUUUUAGUUGGAGUGAUUUACGUGGAUAAUUCCUAUAAUGAACAAGACUCCAGCAUAUUGACUAGUUAACCUGACCCCCAAACACAACUCCUCCAAAAGAUUUUUCCUGACUAGCAAUACAUAAUAAUAAUGGUGGUAUUUGGUAAACACUAUGUGUCAAGCACUGUACUAAGAGCUUGGGUAGAUAGCAGAUAUUCAGGUCCCACAAAGGUCUCAUAUUCUAAAUGGGAGGGAGAAUAGGUAUUGAAUCCCCAUUU